UCUCUUACCAUCAAAGCAUUUAUAUCGCCGUCUCAAGAUAAAAUUUUAAAAUUUUAUCUACCCUACCAAUCCACUUACGUCAGGUCGAGAUAAAGCCAAUUUUUAAGGGAGCCGAGUUGCAAAUCACUAAUAUAGAACUACAUAAAAUAAAAAUUUUAUUCAUUCAGGAUUUGACAGUAAUAGAAUAUUAAUUUUCUUCUAUGAAAAAGUUCAUAAAGGUGUACAUAUCGCCCGUCACCCUCAUCCAAAGAUGAGGUAAGUCGUAACAUAGUUAAUAUACUGGAAAGUGUAUUAAGGG
rnacentral:rRNA from 1 species